AUGCUGGACGAAGGGGUGGCAUGGAAGCUUGGGGCCAUGCUGGGUGAGGUCCUCGAGGUGGACACGAACAGGAGUGGUAAGAUUUGGGGUGAUUUCAUAAGAGUUAGAGUGAACCACGAUGUGGACGAGCCUCUCCGGAACAAAAUCACAUCAAAUGACAAACCUAGGAAUGAGUUGUUCUUUUUAGAGGUGAAAUGUGAAAGAGUUCCUAGGUUCUGUGGGUACGGUGGUUUUCUUGGGCAUGGCCAACGCGAUUGUAAGUUGCCGACGGACCUCCAAGAGAUGAGGUACACGGCAACAAUGCAUGCCUCCCCAUUCAAAAAGAGUAAUAGUAAGGAAGGAUAUGUCGCUCCGGUUGCGGUAGUGCUAGGCGGCUCCUUAGCUUUGGGAAGGAAGUGUUCCAAGGGGACACAGCUAGUCUGA
rnacentral:rRNA from 1 species